GGUGGUCAGUGCGCAUCAUAGCAACCGGUCGGAUGGGUGGAGGGACACUUAGCAUAUUAGCCUUUUAUAUAUAGGUAAUUGGGCAGAAGGACCUAGCCAAGAAAGUGAAUGAAGUGAAACUUCUAUUGUAAAUGACGAUUUUGUAUGUAGAAAAGUCUGAGAAUUAUACAGAUAAUUAGAAUUAAUGAGUAAAGUCAGCAAGGUCCCUGCAUACAAACUCAUUAUGAAAAAUUGCUUUAAUAUACCAGCAGUAAACAUAGAAAAUGAAAAAUUUGGAAGCAAUACCACUUACAGUAGCAUCAAAAAUCCUCAAGUGCCUAGGGGAAAGCUUACCUCACCAUGCUUUCAAGGUAAAAACAAAAACAACUGCAAAACAGAGAGAUAUACCUGGCUCAUGAGUUCCAGGACAGUUCCUCCAUGUGGUCCUCCCAUCCACCCCCUGAAAUAGUUAGUGAAAAGCAUGGGAAAGCAUCACGUGCGGGCAAGAAUGUGAGGAACAGGAAGUCCAUGCUGCCGCUGGCGUUGCCAAUUGCUAGGACCAUUUUAGAAAGCCAGCACUUCAAGCCGAAGGCUUUUCCCAAACCGAGCAGAAACGUCAGGAUGUCCACCAAAGGACAUGGACUGGAAUGUCCAUGGUGUAGAACGCAAAACCCAGAGCUCUCUGAAGGCAUAUGUGCAGUAGGUGAAUGAACUUCAGUGGUGUAUUUCCACUCAGAAUGCUGUAAAGCAGAGAAUUAACACACCAUGAUGGCAGCUUAGUUUCACAAAUACGGUCAAAUGACAAUCCAGACAAAAGCGAACAUCGUGUGUGAUUCCUACUUACAAUAGGAGCAGGCAAACUGGUCUAUGCACUUAGACAACAGGAGACCUUUUGGCCUGGGCACAGGCUGGGGGGGGCGGGGUUCACUGGUGAUGCGCGUUCUAUUUGAAAUGUGGGUGCUGAAUAUCCCAGCGUUGUGUGCACGCGGGAUAUGUGUGUUGUGUGUCUGCAUGUGUGUAGACUUCCAUAAAAAGUUUUAAAAUCUCAGAUGUCUACCAUUUCUGUUGCUCAGCACUCUUGCCAUAUUUUUCUAGAUGAGUAUGAAUAUGCUGCAGAACAGGAAGUACAUGGUAGAUUUUGCAUAAUUCUGUGCAGGAAAUACUCUUUAUAGUAGUUUCCAUUGCAACUGCUAAAAUUUCCUACACUGUGACCAUAAAGCUUAAUUACUAUAAUGUAUAUUUUAAGUAAAAUAUUUGAAAGGUGACGGGUCAUUGCAUAUUUUGUCAUCCUACCCUUUGCAUAUAUGAAUGGGUCUGAACUGCCUCUUCAAUAAAAAACUAAUGUGUGUAAA